AGCAGCCGCGGUAAUUCCAGCUCCAAUAGCGUAUAUUAAAGUUGUUGCAGUUAAAAAGCUCGUAGUUGAAUUUCGGGGUUAGCAGGUCGGUCGUGCCAUCGGUAUGAACUGGUCUCGCUGAUCCCUCCCUCUUGACGAACUGUGAUACCAUUAAUUUGGUGUCGCAGGGAAUCAGGACUGUUACUUUGAAAAAAUUAGAGUGUUUAAAGCAGGCUCACGCUUGAAUACAUUAGCAUGGAAUAAUGAAAUAGGACGUUUGAUCCUAUUUUGUUGGCUUCUAGGAUUGACGUAAUGAUUAAUAGGGAUAGUUGGGGGCAUUAGUAUUCAAUUGUCAGAGGUGAAAUUCUUGGAUUUAUUGAAGACUAACUACUGCGAAAGCAUUUGCCAAGGAUGUUUUCAUUAAUCAAGAACGAAAGUUAGGGGAUCGAAGACGAUCAGAUACCGUCGUAGUCUUAACCAUAAACUAUGCCGACUAGGGAUCGGAUGAUGUUAAUUUUUAAUGUACUCAUUC
rnacentral:misc_RNA from 1 species